UUCUUUUUGUUUGAGACAGUGUCUCGCUAUGUAGCCCUGACUGGCUUGAAACUCACAAGACAUCCCCCUGCCUCUGCCUGAGGGCUAGGGUUAAAGGCAUAGAUCACCAGCCACUUGCCCCUGAAAGGGUUGUUGGGAAAACAGGCGGCUCUUGUCUCAAAGCAAGCUUAUUUCUGCUUUGUAAUUGACAGCUUCCCUCAGAAGUAAACGUGAACAUGAACGCAGGACUUCGCUGUGGCCCUUCCAGAUCGCCUGAAAGAGGCGCACCUGCGAAGCCUGAGACAAACCAGGUCUUCAGUGGCCUCUAGUUCACAAGGCUUGGGGCAGACUGAGAAUUACGAUGCUGGUGCUGCUGGCUGUGCUCGCUUGCUUGGUCGCUUGCUUCCUCUCUUGCGAGUCGGGAGUAUGGGAAAGCGGGCUCCCUCCCCCACCCAAGCACUGCUGUACUGAGCAACAUUUAUACAAGCUGAAUUUUUGUACUAACUGGACUAUGUAGUGAAGGGAAAUCAUGAAAGCGCACUUUUCACACAGCUGCCUUUUUAAAUUAUUCUAUGUGGCCUCCCUUUUCUUUUGGAAGAAUCUAGGGCACAUUUUAUCGCUUUUCCUGUCACCUUCGGGUGUUAACAAGCAGUUUGACUUGCCGUUAUUACAAAGUCCAGUCCAAUCUAAAUCAAACUUUAAUCUCAUUUCAUUUAAGCCUUCCCCACUCCCCUCCCCUGGCUCACAAACUGCAAGCCUGACCUAAACUUAAAUAGAACAGCCUCUUUCGCUCCCUUUACUUUCCAAUUAGGGUGUUCUGUGACGCCUGGAGUCUCGGAGGUUGAAGGAAUGGGGUCCUAACAGCUCCCUCCUCAGGCCACCCCUACUUCCUCCAGGGAAGCACACCCCGACAAGCCGACCAUGUCUCCUAAUGGUGUCCAUCAAACUAGAGAAACUCUGAUUAGCCUCUUCCUUGAGCCCUGUCAGGGCGCCAUUUCCAGUUUCAGGGAUAUCCCCACACUCCAGAUGGCAUGUAGCGGCUUCUCACCGCAUUUCUCCUUAGGCUUGUCUUCCCAGGACAAAGUGACUGAGUCCUUCCCCCUUGCCUUGUCAGCACCCUGUGGAUCUCACAGCCAACUGCCCAGCCAACCGAAUGCCCCCUUAGAAAGUCCCACACUUUAUUCCAAGCCUGCACCUACCUGUCUCCAUAGCAGCACAAGGCAAGGCACUGAGCUCCUGGGAGCAUGAACAGCUAACAGCACAUAGCGGUGACUCCUUGGGAUCUGCCAGGAAACAGACGGGAUGCCAACAUUUUGCUGACUUUCUCUUUGUUCUCCCUUUGAUCCUGGUAGGUCCCUAGUCCAUAGACAGAUUGGUGCUAAUCACACACUCAAGGUACAUCCGCCCCCUCAGAGAGUCCUCCCCAGCGAUGUCCUCAUAGACACUUUUGGAUUCUCACCCAUCUCCUAGGUAGCUUCAAAUUGUUGAGUUGACAAUGAAGAUUAAUGGCUACAAAUGGUAACUCAGAAAGGGCUGUGCAUAGCCAAUCCAGACAGAACAAUCGUAAUCCUACUGAGAUUUUCCAUUUUUGAUUGGAAAAGCAGAAAUGGAAAGUCGUGUUGGUUUUGCUGUUUGUUUCUUUGUUUGUCUGACUGAUUGAUUGACUGACUGAUUGGUUUGCUUUAAGUCUGAUCCUGCCUGGGUAUCGUCUCAGAAUAGCCUAGUAGCUAUUCCAAAAUAAGCCGCAACUCCUAGAGCAGAGUUUCAUGGGUCGUGGAUACAGGUGGUUUGUUUUGGGAGGUGAUCCGAGGAAGCAGGUACCAUGAAAUUAAAACAGUAAGACAGUUUGAGAGGACUCUUGUGUGUGAAUGUUUGGCCCAUAGCCAAUGGCACUAUUAGGAGGUGUGGCCUUGGAGUGGGUGUGGCUUUGUUGGAGUGUCACAGUGGAGGCCAGCUUUGAGGUCUUAUAAGCUCAAGUCUGACCAGUGUGACACAGUGGCUUCUGCUGCCUGCGGAUCAAGAUGUAGAACUCUCAGCUCCUUCUCCAACACCGUGUCUGCCCAUGUGCCACUAUGUCCCACCAUGAUGACAAUGAACUGAACCUCUGAACUAUGAUUUUGGCCAGUGUUUUAUCACAGCAAUGGAAAAACAAGCCACUACGCCUUGCUAUCUUGAGAUCUCAGACAUCUAUCUGCAGGAUGUCACUAUGCAACAAUAAGUAUCCUGGGAUCAUUCUUUUAAAACAGUUCCCACCUCCACUUCAUGUAGCUUCCUAACAACAGUGCAAGGAAGAGGACAACUGACAGCCGGAACUGAGUUCCGGCUCACCCAGAUCGCACAGCUGCUGAAGGACACACCUACAUCCCCGCCUCUCUCCUUGCUCCCUGGGCUGCCGCUCUUGCUCACCUAUUCUUGGGUUCCCAGAAGCGUCCCCGACAUAGUUCCAUUCAUCCCCAUUUCUUUGUAAUGCAGGAAUAAACAACUAUUU